UCCCCGAUUUCCGGGGCAGUCUCCCACGAGUCCCCACCAUUACGUGCUGGCAACAUAGGAUAAGGGUUGCGCUCGUUGCGCCACUUAAGGCAACACCUCACGGCACUAGCUGACGACAGCCAUGCAGCACCUGUGCGGGCUCCCGAAGGAGCGCCGUGUUUCCACGGUUUCACCCCGCAUGUCAAGCCCUGGUAAGGUUCUUCGCGUUGCGUCGAAUUAAGCCACAUGCUCCGCCGCUUGUGCGGGCCCCCGUCAAUUCCUUUGAGUUUUAACCUUGCGGUCGUAAUCCCCAGGCGGGGUGCUUAAUGCGUUAGCUACGGCACGGAGGGAAUGGAUAACCCCCCACACCUAGCACCCAUCGUUUACGGCGUGGACUAC
rnacentral:misc_RNA from 1 species